CCUUAGAUUUAUUUGAUUCUGAGGUGAAACAAGACAGCAGCUCAGAUGACGAUGGAAAUGUGUUGCGGCAGAAGAAUCUCAGUGACUUGGCAUUCAUGGAAGGCAAACGAAUGAUGCUAGCUGGGGAACACACUUUCUUUGAUAUCAGAGAUCCACUAUUCUGAAGAACAAGCAAAGUAGAGGUGUAUUCUUUAUAUAUCCAAGAGAAGUGUGAUAUAUUGCAAAUUUUAAAUUGAAAUGGAAAUAAUUAUAUGAACUACUUCAGUGUGGCAUAUCACAUAAUUAUGCCUGAAAUGCCAAAUGUGUAUAGUCAUGAACAAGUUUGUAUUUCGAGGUCUAGACACGCUUGAUGCUGAUUAUUUCUGUAGAUGCCUACAAACAGUCAUAACUAAUUUUAAAAGUUAUACCUCACUUCUUGUGUUUUUACAAAAUACUGUGUAUUCAAUAUACAUUACUCUCUUUGGAGAACUUAACAAUUACUGCCUCUAAUGAUGCAGAAUAUUGUCAGUGUUUGGCUGCUAGAACUGAAUAAGCAGAGCUUUAUUUUAUGUAGUUAUUGGCACAAUAUUUAUUCAGUGAAACUGUUGUUAGUUUUAAACUUUUUAAACAUCUCAGUUUUACUUCUGAAGUAUUUCUGAAAUGUACUGAUUUUCACCCCCAAAAUUCAAUAAAGAUUUAUUUAUUACAA